CUACUUACUUGGCAGGGGAGACACCUUGAUGAUGCAAGAGAUUUUCCCAGGAUGAGGUUCAGCCAUUGCACUCUGGCUGCGCUGAGCUCUGUGAUUUCCCCAAAUGCGGGAAACUAAACUACCUCAUUUAUGGUAGUGGGGGGCUUUGUGUGCACUUUCCCCUA
rnacentral:snRNA from 1 species